rnacentral:lncRNA from 1 species
CUUGUUCCAUUUUUAUUUAAAGCCUUCUGUGAGUGCAAUACCUUCUCCUGGGACACAACCGUCUAUGGGACCAAGCUCUGUUUAUGGAACUACACCGUUAUCUCCUUCAGCGCCUGCUUAUCAAUCUGGUCCAUCUUCAAACAAGGAACACUCUUUUCCUCAGCGACCUGGACAACCUGAGUGUACCUACUUUAUGAAAACAGGAGACUGUAAGUUCGGAACCUCUUGCAGAUACCAUCAUCCUCUGGAAGCAGCAUCGCCCAAGGGAGUUGCUCUCAGCAAUAUCGGCCUCCCACUUCGUCCUGUAAGUCUCACUCAUUUGCCAAAGCAUCUGUGUAUGUAUAUAUUAUAGCUUUACGCCUUGAGUUAUUGUCAUGGAGGAUUCCCAUUACGUCCGGUUUGUUCAAUCUCUCUCUCUCUCUCUCUCUGGUCUAGGUUAUAUACUUAUAUCAGUCUUGUCUUAUGUUUCAUCCUUGAGGGAAAAAGAAAUGUUUCUUAUUAAUGGACUUCACAGGGUGAGAAAGAAUGUCCCUAUUACAUGAGAACCGGCCAGUGUAAAUUCGGUUCCACCUGUAAAUUUCACCAUCCUGUUCCUCCUGGUGAUCAAGUUCCAUCGCAGCAGCAGUUAUCAACUGGUCCAGCUAUCCAUCCAUCGCAGCAAUUCGGAGUAGUUGUACCAAGACCUCAGCUUUUGCCAGGCUCAUAUGUUCAAAGCCCUUACGGUACUUACAGCCAAAUGGUUCUUCCUCCCGGCAUGGUUUCAUACUCUGGCUGGAACCCUUACCAGGUAAUGCUGCUCUUUUUAUUUGUACACUUUUCUUUCUCUUUAAUCUUAACGAAGCCUUGUUCCAUUUUUAUUUAAAGCCUUCUGUGAGUGCAAUACCUUCUCCUGGGACACAACCGUCUAUGGGACCAAGCUCUGUUUAUGGAACUACACCGUUAUCUCCUUCAGCGCCUGCUUAUCAAUCUGGUCCAUCUUCAAACAAGGAACACUCUUUUCCUCAGCGACCUGGACAACCUGAGUGUACCUACUUUAUGAAAACAGGAGACUGUAAGUUCGGAACCUCUUGCAGAUACCAUCAUCCUCUGGAAGCAGCAUCGCCCAAGGGAGUUGCUCUCAGCAAUAUCGGCCUCCCACUUCGUCCUGUAAGUCUCACUCAUUUGCCAAAGCAUCUGUGUAUGUAUAUAUUAUAGCUUUACGCCUUGAGUUAUUGUCAUGGAAACUAGAGUUAUUUGGUAAUGAAUCAAUGAUGAAUUCCGUAUAGAAACUCUGUUUCUUGAUUUAAUUACCGGAAACAACUAAGUGGUACGUCUCUCAUGAUCACUGACAGUUCAUUCUACUUUCACGUAUACAAUAAUGCAUGUCAUAACAAAUAAGAAAGCUAAUAAUAAAUAUCAUUUUUCAGGGC